rnacentral:rRNA from 1 species
CCUACGGGAGGCAGCAGUGGGGAAUAUUGGACAAUGGGCGAAAGCCUGAUCCAGCAAUUCCGCGUGUGUGAAGAAGGCCUUCGGGUUGUAAAGCACUUUAGUUGGGGAAGAAACAGUUUGGCCACACCAAGCCUUGACGGUACCCAAAGAAUAAGCACCGGCUAACUCUGUGCCAGCAGCCGCGGUAAUACAGAGGGUGCAAGCGUUAAUCGGAUUUACUGGGCGUAAAGGGUGCGUAGGUGGUUUUGUAAGUCGGAUGUGAAAGCCUGGGGCUCAACCUCAGAAUUGCACUCGAUACUGCAAGACUAGAGUUCGGUAGAGGGCGGCGGAAUUCCCGGUGUAGCGGUGAAAUGCGUAGAUAUCGGGAGGAACAUCAAUGGCGAAGGCAGCCGCCUGGGCCUGAACUGACACUGAGGCACGAAAGCGUGGGUAGCAAACAGGAUUAGAUACCCUGGUAGUCCACGCUGUAAACGAUGAGAACUUGACGUUGGUUCGUUUUACGAAUCGGUGUCGCAGCUAACGCGAUAAGUUCUCCGCCUGGGGAGUACGGCCGCAAGGUUGAAACGUCAAAGAGUAGUACGACGUGAGAGUGCGACGAGACACCGAGGGAGGAG